rnacentral:lncRNA from 1 species
AGGUGAGUGGAACAACCCCUUAAGUUUUAAAGUAAAGUAAAUGAAUAAAUGAAUGAAUCAUAAAGCAUUGCCCAUGCAUCAUUAUGCCAUGCAAUAUUUCAGGAUGUUUGCAUUAGAAUUCACGAAUAUGCUGCAUUGCAUAAAUUGAUGUUGAUGUGGAUGGUUGUUGGGUGAUCCAUAGUCCUCUGAUGUUAUGUUAUGAUGAUAUGUUAUGGAAGACCAGCGAGGCCCAUUCUACGCCCCUGGCACUAUGUAAGAGAAAGACCAGUGAGGCCCAUUCUACGCCCCUGGCAUUUUAGAAUGUUAUGUUAUGUAAGAGAAAGACCAGUGAGGCCCAUUCUACGCCCCUGGCAUUUGGAGAUGUUGAGGACUAAUGGUGACAAUACCAUCCUUUUAUGUGAUUAGCUGUGAUGUGUUGCAUUUCAUGAAAGCAUGAAUAAGAAAAAGAAAGAAAAAAAUUAAAUAAUUAUAAUAAUAAUAAAAUGAAUAAUAAUAUACCUAAAAAUGGUGGAAUUAAAGCAAAUGUUUUUAGUUUCUGCUCACUGGGCUUUAUAGCUCACCCCCUCUCCCCUAACCCCAGUCUUGCAGGUGCAGAGUAGAUAGAGAAGUCAGCAGAGUAAGAGAAGUUUAUGUAAUAGCUUAGCUGUGGACAUGGUUUGUUGGUAAUGUAAAAGUAUGAGAUGUAAUGUAAUGUAAGUUGAUAAUGUGCUUGACUAGAGUCUGUUGAAUUCCCUGUACACAUGGUCUUGUAUGAGAUAUAAUGUUUUUAUGAUGCCUAUGUAAUCCAAGCCUAUGUUAUGUUAUGUUACCCCAUU